ACCAGGUGCCAUAUCACCCUGCAACUUACACCUGGCAACCCACUGAAGCUAAGCAGGUUUGAGCCUGGUCAGUAACUGGAUGGGAGACCUGGGAAAAACUAAGGUUGCUGCUGGAA
rnacentral:rRNA from 1 species